CACGUAGGCGGUGAAUCGGGUUGAAAGUGAAAGUCGCCAAAAACUGGCGGAAUGCUCUCGAAACCAAUUCACUUGAGUGAGACAGAGGAGAGUGGAAUUUCGUGUGUAGGGGUGAAAUCCGGAGAUCUACGAAGGAACGCCAAAAGCGAAGGCAGCUCUCUGGGUCCCUACCGACGCUGGGGUGCGAAAGCAUGAGGAGCGAAG
rnacentral:rRNA from 1 species